rnacentral:lncRNA from 1 species
CCUGUCCUCCGCUCGCCUGUCAGCGUCCCUCCAGCCUCGCUACACACACACACACACAGACGCUUCCCUCCAGCCGUGGGCAGGAUUCAUCAGGGCCGAAAUGCAGAGCCGUGAAGUGUUAAUUUAGCGCUCCUGCUGGCAGAGAGGCUGCUUGGGGAAGGAGAGGGCUGCUGACUGGCAAUCAGAGCAGAAAACAAAGUAGACGAGGGGAGGUCGCUGAGAGCUAAUGUGUCAGUGGACAAUUAGAAAGACGUACCUAAACCACUGUUCACGCAGGCUUUUGGUGUGAGACUACACACUGCUGAGUGAAGUAUCGAUCGUGAAGAGGAGCAUUCAACUGCAUUGAUUUUCAAGUGUUAGAGUCACUUUUCUUAAACCUAUAGUUAGCCUUGUAAAAUCGGAUUUGCCGAACUACUGCUACCACGACUGAAUCAGUUUUCUGAAACAAAUAGUUGCAACAAAUCAGUUGAGUUCUGAAUUAAUACAAAAUAUUAUUGUG